GGGAUCAGGAUGCUCAGUAAGAUAUCUUUGGAUAAGGUCCCGAGCCUCUUCAUGAGUGAAGCGAAAUAAUAUAUGCACCUUGUCAAUGUAUCGAGAGUACAACCGGAUUGGAUGCCUUGUUUCCACUCUAGAAUCACUAUAGGUAAUGAACUCAUUAGGCAUCUGUGGUGGACCCGCAAUUUCACUUGCUCGAGUUAAACCAAGGAGCAAAAGAUCCAACACAAGUCCAUAGUACUGUACAACAAAUGAAGCAAACUGAAGGCCCCGUAUCAGCCCGUAUGAAUUUGUAUGGCUCAUAUCUUUGUAAGACAGCACGACAUUGUUUUUUGCAGUGACAUAAUCAGCAAUAUUGUGGUCGAGCACCAAACGCAGAAGCCUGUUCAGCAUGGUCAAGUCGAUCUUUUCAAAGAACUUCUCAAAC
rnacentral:misc_RNA from 1 species